AGCGAGCGCUGGCGGCAGGCUUAACACAUGCAAGUCGAGCGGGCAUCCUUGUGGUGUCAGCGGCAGACGGGUGAGUAACGCGUGGGAACGUGCCCUUCGGUUCGGAAUAACUCAGGGAAACUUGAGCUAAUACCGGAUACGUGCGAGAGCAGAAAGGUUUAUCUGCCGAAGGAUCGGCCCGCGUCUGAUUAGCUAGUUGGUGAGGUUACGGCUCACCAAGGCGACGAUCAGUAGCUGGUCUGAGAGGAUGAUCAGCCACACUGGGACUGAGACACGGCCCAGACUCCUACGGGAGGCAGCAGUGGGGAAUAUUGGACAAUGGGGGCAACCCUGAUCCAGCCAUGCCGCGUGAGUGAUGACGGCCUUAGGGUUGUAAAGCUCUUUUCUCCGGGACGAUAAUGACGGUACCGGAGGAAUAAGCCCCGGCUAACUUCGUG
rnacentral:rRNA from 1 species